UGUUAGUUAGUCACUUCCACAAUUUUUGGACUAAUUUUUCACUAGAAAUUUUGUAGGUCUGUCAGCAAUACAGUUCAAAGAUUCUGAUAUUGAGUUAGAGCUUGCAUUUCUUUUUAGUAGCCUGUAGAUAAUAUUCCAAACAAAUGAUUCUGAUAUGUCAGUAUGAGAUUCUCUUUUAGGCAUUUGUAAAGCUUCUUUGUUUUUAGUGAGUUGUGUAUGUGUUAUCAUUAGCAGUGAUAUUUUUGAAGCUUCCUCUUUGCAAGAAAUUGAAAAAUACAGAUAAACACAACCAAAUAUUAAGCAGACAGUGGAAGAAAGAAGGAAAGAGAGGGAGAGACAGAGAGAAGACAAGAGAGAAAGAACAUAUAAAAUACUCCUAUAAAUUGUAUGUCUCCCUAAAGUACCUCAACUCAGAAUUCAGGAAAAUUAUGGCAAAAUAGAAAGAAUUUCAAAGUCAAAAGACAUGGAUGAUACCAAGAGAACAAGGCUUACUAAGCUAAAUGAGGUUUCCAGAGCAACCCUCCUUCUCGGAGAAGCAGCUUACAGUCAACCUCUGGCAAAAGCCUGGGCUGGGCUGCUAACUAAACACAAACCAGGAGUAUUACUGGAAAAAAUUUUUGGGAAUACAUUUCUUAAGCUGUGUUUGACGCAGAAUGGCUGAGUAUACUUAGGAAAAUAGAGAAAAGAUUUGGGACCAAUCAGAAGAGAGUUCUCAAAAAUGACGAAGAAAGCAAAGCCUGUUGUUACCAUGGAGAUUUUUCCAUCAAAGCUCCUGUAUCUAUCUCCCUCCUCCCUUCCUGUUGCACCAAGAAUAAAAAUAAAGAUGAAAUAGAAGGAGGAAGACCAAAA